rnacentral:lncRNA from 1 species
GAUGCCUCUGCUGGUGGACGUUUCGUCCCCGAGGGUAUCACCAGCCCAGUAGUUAGCACUUCGGUGUUGACAUGAAUAUCAAUUAUGUGGUCAUUUUUAUAAAUUUCCUGUUUACAAAACUUUGAAUUUUUCGAAAAACUAAGGAUUUUCUUAUCCCAGGCAUAGAUUACCUUAGCCGUAUUUGGCACAACUUAUUUGGAAUUUUGGAUCCUCAAUGCUCUUCAACUUUGUAUUUGUUUGGGUUAUAACUAUUUUGAUAUGAGCGUCACUGAUGAGUCUUAUGUAGAC